rnacentral:tRNA from 1 species
UUAGUUAAAGUCAAAAUAGAGACAAUUCAUUGUUAAUGAUAAAAUUGGUUUAACCUAACUAAA